GGCGCCAGGCAAGGGCUAGUAACCCCGGAUGGGUCUCUGUGUCUUCUGCAGUCCCUGGGUCUCGGGCGUGGAGGGGAGACUUCUGCUCAGCCCCCCUAGACACGCUCUGCCCUCAGAGCUCAACGCAGAUUUUCCGAUCUCUAUGUCGGUCCCCGGAUUGCGACUCCCUUCCCUGCCGACCCUACACCCAUUUCCCGUCCUCCAGAGUUGGCUCCUAGCUCCUGGCUCCUUAGCACUUCCCAGAAAAAUCGUGUUCCCUCUCUCACCUGGCUGCCUACAACAGACUUGCUUCUAACAAAAGGACAGCCCUUCGCUGACCAACCUUCGCUGUCGCCCCCGCCUCACUUUUUCCCUUCGCUUCCCAUCCUGCUACCUAGCCGCCUCUACCACCGUGACUUUUAAAAACCUCCAUACUGUCUGCAUCAACUCAUUAAAAGGAAGGAAGGGAAAGAAAAGAAAAGGAAAACCUGUUACAGUACACAGAUUCCCUGGAUCCCCAACUGCAGUUGACUUCCAUCCUGAGAUUUCUCUUCCAGAAACUUAUCUUGGGCUGGGAAACCAAGAAAUCAGCUCGCCUCCUUGGUAAGCGGCUGUGGCUUGGGCAAGCUAUGGCAGCACCAGGGUAAGAACCAGCCGGCGUCUCCUGAGCUCUAUGCCAUGUUGGAACUUAGGGCACUGGGAAACCAAGCAACCAGCUUGCCUUCCUGCCACCAUGAACUGUGGCCCUGCCACGCCAGCCUGCCUUGAAGCCAACUGAGUAUGGACUGAAACCUCCAAAAACUUUGGAGAUGGUCUCCAGGGACUUUUGCAUCCUAGGCAGGCAAUCCGUCAUUGAGCUACACUCCUGGCCCCAUACUUUCAGAGUGAUGACUAGAUUAUCCAUUUUGCCUAACCAGAGGGAUUUUUAUUUUUUAUUUUUAUUUUAAGGAUAAGUAAAAUAAAAUAGAAUAAAUCCAAUAAAGAAACCAGUGUAAGUGACGCAGACUUCAAAACAAGACAAUAGGAAAUCAACAUUGGUUACCCUAAGGCUUCUUGUUGUCUUCAAAAUAGCUGCCCAUACCUUCAGACAAAGUCGAACAAAAACAGAACAGAAUAGAACCAAUAAAGCCAAAACAAUGGAUGCAAUAAAGGACUUCAAGAUAAGAGUAAAUCCAAAAUGGCUACUAUAAUAUAUCUUGUUAUCUUUGAAACAAUUGCCUGUAGUGGUUGAUUGAUUGUGUCAACUUGAGACAGUUAGAAGCUAACUAAAUGAGUUUAGCAAUUCUACAACCAAGGAUGUAGAAGAAGAUCCACCCUAGGAUGGGUUAUCACCUCAAGAUAUAAGGGAGGAGGAAGGAUGAAUCCAUUCCAUUCUUGGGAGAAGCUCUAGUCUUCGCCUUUGGUUUGGACCUCACCUCCUGGAUUUCAGUAUAGACUCUUCAGCUUUCCAGCAUAGACUUUUCAGCCUUUCAUCACAGAGCCUUUGGCCUUCUGUUGCAGACCCAUCAGCCUGCUGGUGUGGGCUUGCACAAGACACUAGGGUAAACUCCAGACCUUGGAUUGAAUCCUUCGGCCUCCAGUGCAUAGACACCCUCUGCACACUUCCUCUUGGGACUCUGUGACUGACUAUUGUAAGCCAAUCUUGUUGUUUCUGUAUAUUCCAGGUUAUACUCUGUUCUCUCUAGUAAAACCCUGACCAAUACAUUGUCCGUGUUAUCGAAUAUAAUAAAAUCAAACAAGACAAAAGAGAAUGAAACCCAAUCCAACAAAACAAUGAAAAUGAUACAUGACUUCAAAACAAGAUGAUAGGGAAUUAACAAUGGCUACCACCUUUAGAAGAAGAGCUGCCGUAGAUGCUACAUUGUGUAUUGUUAUCCUCUGAAUAGAUGAUCAGUCUACCAGCUUUAGACCUGCAAAGUCAGUGAAACACUAAACACUACAAUCAUUAAAUUGGAUUUUACCUCAAUA